rnacentral:rRNA from 1 species
GAUGAACGCUGGCGGCGUGCCUAAUACAUGCAAGUCGAGCGAACAGACGAGGAGCUUGCUCCUCUGACGUUAGCGGCGGACGGGUGUGUAACACGUGGAUAACCUACCUAUAAGACUGGGAUAACUUCGGGAAACCGGAGCUAAUACCGGAUAAUAUAUUGAACCGCAUGGUUCAAUAGUGAAAGACGGUUUUGCUGUCACUUAUAGAUGGAUCCGCGCCGCAUUAGCUAGUUGGUAAGGUAACGGCUUACCAAGGCGACGAUGCGUAGCCGACCUGAGAGGGUGAUCGGCCACACUGGAACUGAGACACGGUCCAGACUCCUACGGGAGGCAGCAGUAGGGAAUCUUCCGCAAUGGGCGAAAGCCUGACGGAGCAACGCCGCGUGAGUGAUGAAGGUCUUCGGAUCGUAAAAUUCUGUUAUUAGGGAAGAACAAAUGUGUAAGUAACUAUGCACGUCUUGACGGUACCUAAUCAGAAAGCCACGGCUAACUACGUG